rnacentral:rRNA from 1 species
AUUGAACGCUGGCGGCAGGCCUAACACAUGCAAGUCGAACGCGUGGCGGCCGGGUGAGUAAUGUCUGGGAAACUGCCCGAUGGUGGGGGAUAACUCCCGGAAACGGUAGCUAAUACUGCAUACCAUCCGCUGUGCUCAGAUGGGAUUAGCUAGUAGGUGGGGUAACGGCUCACCUAGGCGACGAUCCCUAGCUGGGCGGAGAGGAUGACCAGGCACACUGGAACUGAAACACGGUCCAGACGCCUACGGGAGGCAGCAGUGGGGAAUAGUGCACAAUGGGCGGAAGCCUGAUGCCGCCAUGCCGCGUGUAUGAAGAAGGCCUUCGGGUUGUAAAGUACUUUCAGCGAGGAGGCGUUACUCGAAGAAGAAGCACCGGCUAACUCCGUGCCAGCAGCCGCGGUAAUUC